rnacentral:rRNA from 1 species
UACGAAGGGGGCUAGCGUUGUUCGGAAUUACUGGGCGUAAAGCGCACGUAGGCGGAUAUUUAAGUCAGGGGUGAAAUCCCAGAGCUCAACUCUGGAACUGCCUUUGAUACUGGGUAUCUUGAGUAUGGAAGAGGUAAGUGGAAUUGCGAGUGUAGAGGUAGAAAUUCGUAGAUAUUCGCAGGAACACCAGUGGCGAAGGCGGCUUACUGGUCCAUAACUGACGCUGAGG